rnacentral:rRNA from 1 species
GACGUAGGAGGCGAGCGUUGUCCGGAUUCAUUGGGCGUAAAGGGCGCGUAGGCGGGUGCUCAAGUCCGGGGUGAAAUCCUCCAGCUCAACUGGAGAACUGCCUCGGAUACUGGGUGCCUCGAGUGUGGUAGGGGUGUGCGGAACUAUCGGUGGAGCGGUGAAAUGCGUUGAUAUCGAUAGGAACUCCGGUGGCGAAGGCGGCACACUGGACCACAACUGACGCUGAGGCGCGAAAGCCAGGGGAGCAAACGGG